UACGGAGGGUGCGAGCGUUGUCCGGAAUCAGCUAGGGCGUAAAGGCGCGUAGGCGGCCUGAUAAGUGAGGGGGUGAAAUCCUGCGGCUUAACCGCAGGGCUGCCUUCUAAACUGUCAGGCUCGAGCACAGUAGAGGCAGGUGGAAUUCCCGGUGGUAGCGAUGGAAUGCGUAGAGAUCGGGAAGAACAGUCAGUGGCGAAGGCGGCCUGCUGGGCUGUUGCUGACGGCUGAGGCGCGACAGCGUGGGGAGCAAACAGG
rnacentral:rRNA from 1 species